ACUACGGGAGGCAGCAGUGGGGAAUAUUGGGCAAUGGGCGCAAGCCUGACCCAGCAACGCCGCGUGAAGGAAGAAGGCUUUCGGGUUGUAAACUUCUUUUCUCAGGGACGAAGCAAGUGACGGUACCUGCGGAAUAAGCCACGGCUACCUACGUGCCAGCAGCCGCGGUAAUCCGUCGGUGGCAAGCGUUAUCCGGAUUUAAUGGGUGUAACGGACGUUUAUGCGGGACUGCAAGUAAGAUGUGAACACCAUGGGCUCAACCUAUGGCCUGCAUUUGAAACUGUAGUUCUUGAGUACUGGAGAGGCAGACGGAAUUCCGAGUGUAGCGGUGAAAUGCGUAGAUAUUAGGAGGAACACCAGUGGCGAAGGCGGUCUGCUGGACAGCAACUGACGCUGAGGCGCGAAAGCGUGGGGAGCAAACAGGAUUAGAUACCCGGGUAGUC
rnacentral:rRNA from 1 species